CCCCGCCUCGCCCCGCCGCCCGACGGGCUCCCGGCCCGCGCUCCCCGGGGCUGCCUCGCACGCUGGGCAGUCGGUGUCACGGAACCGGCGUGUGAGGUCCUUCGGGCGGGCAGCUCCUCGUUGCUGGACGAAGGGGCUCGUGUACCACCCGUGAGGAAACAGCCAAAGGGAGGGCGGGGCGCGUGAAGGGCUUGUAAACAUAGCGAGCUGUUUACGAAUACCUGUCACCAGAAGGGGUAUACGCACUGCCAAUAGUGACAGAAGAACACCAAGAUCUGCACUUCAUCACACCAGAGACUGUGGCUGCUCUGCUCUCUGGGCAAUUUCAAUGCCUGAUUGAUAAGUUCUACAUCCUUGACUGCCACUAUCCCUGAACUCUGUGAACCCCAGAGCUAUUGUCCAAUGCAACAUCAGGACUUCAAAGCAGAGUUGCUGAAAUUCCACACCACAAGCAAGUCAUAGACUUUGUAGCGAAGGAAGCGGGACCAGAUCACUCGCCUCAUGAAACUGUGAGCACCAAAGCAAUAGCUGGAGUGGAAGCUGCUUAAGAGAGUUCUGCCUUCCAGAGCAAAGUUUUCUUCCCUGAAGACAACUAGACUGUGAUGGUGAAAGAAAGAGAACCUUCCUUGUUCUACUGACAGGGCUGGGACAAAUUAGGAAGUCUGUUUAAAAAAUCUCAGUGCUGCCUCUGUGGGACACUGGCUGAGUAUAAAGCCUCAAAUAAAACAGUACCAUAGCUGCUUAGGGAAAAGAACAGGCUUUCUUCAAUAAAGACUAAGCCAGCUUUCAGGUUGUCUUGUCUAAAGCCUGCAAGGUAGUGUAUGUCAUCAGUUGAGCUCAGCUCUCCUGCUUUAGACAGGACUGCCCAUGUUUCUUUUUAAUACUACACACUGCUGUGGAUUUUGUUGUUAGUUGUCACUUCUCACUGGUAAAAUAAGGAACUGGAGCA